GCAUCGCGACGGCGACGGCGACGCCGAGGACGCGCGCCAGCGAGUGGGGGUGUGACGUCACGCCGGCGGCUGCGCCCCUGCCGGCGAUGUUCGCGCGCGCGACAGUGCCGCGUCCCCGGUGAACCUGUUGCACUUUCCGCUGCGCUAGUGGGGGAGAAUAGGGGGAGGACGAGGAGGGGGAGGAGGAAGAAGAAGAAGAGGAGUCGGCGGCCCAGUCGACGCCGCGUUCCCCUCGGCUAUCGCUGAAGCUCUGAUAACGGGACCGGAGCGUUCGCGUGAUGUGCACCUGUGGCAGGAAUGUGGCGCGGCGCCGGUGCGGUGCGAUGUGAGUGCUUCUGCGACGCGGCGACGACGGCGGAGAUGGCGACGGCGGCGCGCGUGGCGUGAUAGCGCGAGCCUGCAGGGCGCCGGGGCGCCUGCGCAGAGCCGGCCUCACGGGAGUGCGAGCGGUAGACGGCAUGCAGCCAGCCGCGCGUGCCCACACGUUGCACAGUUCGCACUGAGUCCGUGCACCGUGAAGCAUGCUAUACGAGACGAAAGCCAUAAACUCUGUGGGAACGUGCUACUCAACAGUGCCAGCUGUCUCUCAACACGGACCUGCGUCACUCAGGAACAUGUCUUCGAAGCGCAAGUCGCCGCCCACGAAGCUGCAGGAGGGCGGCUGCGGCGACGACGAGCCGUGCCCGCCCCUAGGCGCCUCCCACGCGUCCGC